rnacentral:tRNA from 1 species
GGUUUUGCUGGGAAAAGAAAAUCUUGAAAAUUUUCUAGAAGUGUUCAAUUCACUUAAAAACUU